rnacentral:lncRNA from 7 species
AUGAUUUAUGUGUUCCUUGAGGCGGUUCUGGCUCCAACUGUGUGAAAGUGCUUCUGGCUGAGGCAAUCCUUGAGUUGUCUGAGUGCAGCCCUAGAGGAGAGAAGGCUGCUUUGUGAUGGAUUUGGUCAAACAGUCAUUCUGAAAAGGAAGCGAUCAUCUCAGAGCACCAUAUAGUGGGAGAAGGGAAGCGCACUGCUCUGUGUGAAUCAGAAUUCAGAAGGGAGGGCUCAGAUAAAGCUGUUGAAAAUGUGCCAGUUACUAUUUCCCAAACCAAAUGUAGAAGACUGAAGGUGCUGUGCUGCUGGACUCCACUCACUUCCACAAAUGAAGAAAUCUCUGAGGUAUCCAUCACUGUCUUCAUGUUGGUAUUUGGAAGGAUAAGCUCUUCAGAAGAGAUGCUGCUGGUAUUUCUUCCCUAGGAAGCAUCCCCCAAGGGCUCCAUGGGACCGCAGAACAACUCAGGAUGAAGGAGACCUUGGGCUUAGCACCUUGUCCAUCCUCCGGAUAAUCCUUCACCAAAAUGCCACGUAGGAGUCCCACCACUGCUGUCUGUUCUUUUCACUGUACAGAGAGUGGUGGGAUCAGGACAUUGCAGUAGAAUGUUUGUACGGUUUUACUACUGAAGGAGAAAAAAAGAAGUCUGGCUGGCACUCUUACACGCCAGGACAGAUCAGGCAUGACCCAGUGCUCCAAGGAGUCAUUUCUUUCCUCCUCAAGGCAACUGCACAGCACAUCUUUCUGGAAGGUCUACAGAUAAUCAGCCCUCCCUGUUACCCACUAUGAACGAUUCCAUAUUCUCUAUGUGUACAUUUAAUACAUCCCUUUAAAUUGAUGCAGAAUGCUGGGGAUCCCCGCUCUUUUUCUCUUAGCUCUUUAACGUGACUGAUGAACAGUUGGCUAAUCCCUUCCCUCAGUAUGAGGCAGGAAAAGGAGCUGCUGACACUAACAAGGAAAAAAGGAAGGUGGUUAUUCCUGGAGAAGACGCCUCUCUCCUUAAUAGCCUGACACAGUGAGGUGGCUGCCUGCAGAUUGGGAAACAGUUUCCAAAGCUCAUCAUCACCCAAGUGAGGUGGUUGCCACAGCAGGUCAGUCCCAGCACUUCCAGCCCUGCUGACCAGCGACUGAGUCAGGCUCUCCUGGCCCUGGUCACACCACUCUGCCUCGUGUUCAUGACAGCAAUCUUCAGCUGCUCAUGGUUGAUGGCUAGCUGCGAGGGCAUCAAUGGAUGAACUACUUCAAAGUGCUGAGAUGUAAAGCAUACCACACGUAGGCGAGAAAGCUGAAGAGUCUUGUGUGCAGGAUGAAGCGGCAUCUAUAUGUAAUGAAUGUAAUAAGUGCAGACUGAUUAAAUUCAGCUAAU